AAGCUAUAGCCCAACGUCCCCGAGCUACAGCCCGACAUCACCGAGCUACAGCCCCACUUCUCCGAGUUACAGCCCGACAUCGCCUGCUUAUAGCCCGACCUCGCCCGCGUAUAGCCCGACUUCACCUGCAUACAGCCCGACCUCUCCUUCUUACAGCCCAACAUCACCAUCUUACAGCCCAACAUCACCUUCUUACAGUCCUACUUCACCCUCCUACAGUCCCACUUCACCUUCUUACAGUCCUACUUCACCCGCAUACAGCCCUACGUCUCCUGGCUACAGCCCAACUUCACCAAGCUACAGCCCAACAUCACCUAGUUACGGUCCUACGUCUCCAAGCUACAACCCUCAGUCUGCUAAAUACAGCCCAUCUCUGGCUUACUCUCCUAGCAAUGCAAGACUAUCGCCAGCUAGCCCCUACAGUCCUACAUCUCCA
rnacentral:lncRNA from 1 species